GACGGAGGGUGCUAGCGUUGUUCGGAAUUACUGGGCGUAAAGGGCGCGUAGGCGGCCUGUUAAGUCGGGUGUGAAAGCCCGGGGCUCAACCCCGGAACGGCACCCGAGACUGGCGGGCUUGAGACCGAGAGAGGAGAGUGGAAUACCCAGUGUAGAGGUGAAAUUCGUAGAGAUUGGGUGGAACACCAGGGGCGAAAGCGGCUCUCUGGCUCGGUUCUGACGCUGAGGCGCGAAAGCGUGGGGAGCAAACAGG
rnacentral:rRNA from 1 species